rnacentral:tRNA from 1 species
GCCAGCGUAGCUCAGUGGCAGAGCAGCGGUUUCGUAAACCGCAGGUCGUCGGUUCGAAUCCGACCGCUGGCUCCA